GCAUUCCAGACGCACCCGGGGAGACAGGCAUCCAUCUCGAGUGGAAGCAAAGAACCCCGCUCUGCUCUCGAGUCGCGACGGGUAUCUCUUGGAGCUCACUGGGUGGACUAAAGGGAGUCAAGCCUCCUGAGGCGUUUGGAGAGAGGUCGCGAGAUUGGUCUCUAGGCCAUGCAGGAGACGAAGGCCCUCAUCUCGCGAUGACGGGGGAGUCUUGGGGUUGUUCUCGAGCGGCGGCCCCAGUGUGCGCUUUCUCACGAGGUACGACGGCGAGGUCAGUGAGCCUCUCGUGGGGCGGCAAGGAAGUCGGGUCUCCAUGCGAAU
ensembl:lncRNA